rnacentral:pre_miRNA from 1 species
GAUUUCAACUAAAAAGGUCAUCAAUAACAAAGUUGUAUAAAUUAUCAAGAUCUAUAACUUUUAUUUUGGUCAUUUCUUCAUCCGACAAGUAAUUUGUAAGAUUGUUCAUAAAUUGUACAUAUGUCUUAUAUAGUUUAUAAAACUAUAAGUGAAAUGUACAUUUUGUGAACAAUCUUAUAAAUAACUUUGUCGGAUGAAGAAAUGACUAAAAUAGAAGUUAUAUAUCUUGAUGAGUUAUACAACUUUGUUGUUGAUGACUUUUUCAGCUGAAAUC